rnacentral:rRNA from 1 species
UAUCUCUGUAGAGUCUGCAUAUCAAUAAGCGGAGGAAAAGAAACUAACAAGGAUUCCCUUAGUAACGGCGAGUGAAGCGGGAAGAGCUCAAAUUUGAAAUCUUCAAGGUUUUACCUUGACGAAUUGUAGUUUAAAGAAGUGUUUUCUGUUGAAGUUUCGGUAAAAGUUCUUUGGAAUAGGACAUCAUAGAGGGUGAGAAUCCCGUAUUUGACCGUUAUUUUCAGCUGUGUGAUACACUUUCAAAGAGUCGGAUUGUUUGGGAAUGCAGUCCAAAAUGGGUGGUAAAUUUCAUCUAAAGCUAAAUAUUGGCGAGAGACCGAUAGCGAACAAGUACCGUGAGGGAAAGAUGAAAAGAACUUUGAAAAGAGAGUUAAACAGUACGUGAAAUUGUCAAAAGGGAAGCGUUUGACACCAGUGUUGUUUUCUCGAAAAUCAAUUAAAAAUGGCAGGAUUUUGUGUUGUAUUGACUUUAUCAGCUUUCUGCACUUUUUUCUUGUCUUUUUUAAUGCACUUUUCGUUUAACAAGUCAACAUCAAUUUCUUUUGCUGUAAAAAGGUCAUUGGAAGGUGGCUUUCUUUUCGGAGAAAGUGUUUAUAGCCUUUGACUCCUGCAAUCGGAGAGAUUGAGGUCUGCAGCGUAGAUCCUUCGGGGUUAGAUGCAUUUGUGCUAAGCUAUAGCCUUUCAUAGACAACUUGUUGACUAUGAUCAGUCAUGUAGCUUACUCGCUUAUGCUAUUUUACCUACGCUUAGGAUGUUGAUCUCUCACAGUCGAGC